rnacentral:rRNA from 1 species
UACGUAGGGCGCAAGCUUUAUCCGGAAUUAUUGGGCGUAAAGAGCUCGUAGGCGGUUUGUCGCGUCUGCCGUGAAAGUCCGGGGCUCAACUCCGGAUCUGCGGUGGGUACGGGCAGACUAGAGUGAUGUAGGGGAGACUGGAAUUCCUGGUGUAGCGGUGAAAUGCGCAGAUAUCAGGAGGAACACCGAUGGCGAAGGCAGGUCUCUGGGCAUUAACUGACGCUGAGGAGCGAAAGCAUGGGGAGCGAACAGG